AGAACGAACGCUGGCGGCAUGCCUAAUACAUGCAAGUCGAACGAACACUUCGGUGUUAGUGGCGCACGGGUGCGUAACGCGUGGGAAUCUGCCCUUGGGUUCGGAAUAACAGUUGGAAACGACUGCUAAUACCGGAUGAUAUCGAAAGAUCAAAGAUUUAUCGCCCAGGGAUGAGCCCGCGUAGGAUUAGCUAGUUGGUGAGGUAAAGGCUCACCAAGGCGACGAUCCUUAGCUGGUCUGAGAGGAUGAUCAGCCACACUGGGACUGAGACACGGCCCAGACUCCUACGGGAGGCAGCAGUGGGAAUAUUGCACAAUGGGCGAAAGCCUGGAUGCAGCGACGCCGCGGUGAGGGAUGACGGCCGUUCGGGUCGUAAACCUCUUUCAGUCGAGGACGAAGCGGACAAGUGACGGUACCUGACAGAAGAAGCGACCGGACUAACGUACGUGCCAGCAGCCGACGGUAAUCGUAGUAGGCGGUCGUA
rnacentral:rRNA from 1 species